rnacentral:rRNA from 1 species
UACGAAGGGGGGCUAGCGUUGUUCGGAAUCACUGGGCGUAAAGCGCACGUAGGCGGAUCUUUAAGUCAGGGGUGAAAUCCCGAGGCUCAACCUCGGAACUGCCUUUGAUACUGAGAGUCUCGAGUCCGGGAGAGGUGAGUGGAACUGCGAGUGUAGAGGUGAAAUUCGUAGAUAUUCGCAAGAACACCAGUGGCGAAGGCGGCUCACUGGCCCGGUACUGACGCUGAGGUGCGAAAGCGUGGGGAGCAAACAGG